rnacentral:sRNA from 1 species
GGAAGAAGAAGCCGGUCCGGAGUUCUGGCCGACAGCAGGCGAGGAGUGGGUAGCAGCGCCUAUGUGAAGUUAGCUAAUCUGAGAAGGCCCACUUCUGGUUCCAUGGAUGAUGGCGGUUGAGCAGAUGCCAAAAAAGGAUUGGUACAGCAUCCUGGGAGCAGACCCAUCUGCAAAUAUAUCAGACCUAAAACAAAAAUAUCAAAAACUCAUAUUAAUGUAUCAUCCAGAUAAACAAAGUACAGAUGUACCAGCAGGAACAGUGGAGGAAUGUGUACAGAAGUUCAUCGAAAUUGAUCAAGCAUGGAAAAUUCUAGGAAAUGAAGAGACAAAAAGAGAGUAUGACCUGCAGCGGUGUGGUAGGUGCUUGUGUUGAGGAGCCACAGCACAUCGGCAACUCUUAGAAGCACACUCUGCAGCCAUUCCUGGGGAGCAUUUUCCAGCAUUUGCACCAAGUGUUAUUGUUGCCUUUAUUCCUCCCCUCCAUCACUGUUUUUAAUUAUGCCCUAUUCUUAGCAGUGACUAUUGUGUAUCCAUUGAGAAGUUAACAAAACUACUAGGAUGUGGCUUCUUGUGAAGCCUUGAAAGCUACUUUUUAUAACAUUUGAAAAAUGUUUAAUUACACAUUACUAACUAAUAUGCUUUAUAUGUUUAAAAACUUUUUAUUAAAAUAAAUAUGGAUUAACAUUUUAAUUGUACUUUUAAGACUAUACAGUAUAAAUGACAAUCCAAAUGAAGAUACUAUAUAUCAGAUGACAUCAUAAAGCACUCUGCUGUCUUUGAGCUCAUUUUAGGCUGGUUUCAUGAUUAUCUUCAUGAUAAACUAUUCCUUGUGAUUGGUAUAAAUGAUAUUUUAGGAAUGCACAUUACCUAAGCAAUUUUAAAAGUCAUUUCUUUUAUGCUUUUUAGAAAAUAGCUUUUUAAAACAGUGACAAGCUGUUAUGAGAAAGAAAGAGGGAAAUGUAGGUCAGGUUUGUCACACAUGGACUGCAGUUACACGAAGUGAUAGGCUGUCUUUCAGCACUGGCCUAGGGACAGGAGUCCCUCAGCCUUGUGUUUGAACCUUCAAUAUGCACCCCACAUGCUAAUGGGAGGAGUCAAUAAUCAGUUACAGCCUGUGGGGAAAACACUCAGUCGCUCUCUCCAAUAGCAUAUCAGGCUCAGCAUUGACUGGGAUGUGUUGAUAAAAGCUGUCUCGUAGUCGUUUAUUGAAUCCCCUCCCAUGCCCUACAAUGGCACACCAUCAGACCUCACAAAAUGAUUUUGAGGCUUUGUUAGUACUAAGGUUAUGAAAAUUUGAUUUGAGAAGCAAGCCUUUAUUUUUAAAACACAGCAUUAUAAGAUGAAGCCAGUGACAUUUGCAAGACAUCCCUAUUUAUUUUCAGAGGGAUUUCUACCAAGAAAAUUAAGGUUUCUUAUAGGCUGUGUGAUACUUCUGUGUGGAAAGACUUGAACUGUUUAUGUACUGGAGUAUUUGUUUAUAAGAGUGACUUAUUUAUAGUACUAAUCAGCUCAAAGGCUUUACUACUUUUUAAAAGACUGAUGAGCUUAUUUUUUUCUUAAAUAUUAAGAACCUGAUGGGUGUACCUUUGCUUUUCAAAGCAAAGGUUAAUUUUCAAAAAUGGCUUGAAUAUUGGGUUCUGCUUUUGCUGGGUGCAUAAUGAGCAUCUGUCUAAUGUAUUUAUUUUUUAAACAUGUUUGUACUUUUUGCAAAAGAAUGUAGAAGUGGCUUCGUUUCAUGAUAAGUUCUACCCGUUGGUGUAUCUUUUUAACCUUGGUUCACAUAAUUUCUAUGAAAGAAUUGAAACUAAUGCACAUGAAUGUGUUUUGUGUUAGAAGAAAUCUACAUUCCUAAAGCCACUACGCUCUACUGAAGAUGAUGAUUCUUUCAGGUGUUUUUGCACAUCUUUACUAGUCUCUACUAUAUAGGAUGCCAGUUUGCUUGAGAUAAGAAUAAUUCACACAACAUUGUACCCUAAAGAGUAUAGGGUAUAUACUUUCAAUGUUGCUCUACAUUUUUGCCACUCCACAGCCUGUGUACUAUUAAGAACAUAUUAGUGAAGUUGACUAGAAGCCUGCUCUCUAAAGAGGUAGGGAGGGAUCAGGAAUCAUAAAAAUAUUUUCUCAAGAAGCUACAGGGUGGGGUAGGCCAGAAACCAAAAGAAAUAGGAAACCAGGUUAAAAGUUAGCAUAGAAUUGCAUGAAGAAAGAUUUGAGAGAUGUCAGAAGACAAAUAAUCAACAUAUUCAUGCCUUUUUCUUUGUCUUCGAAAGGUCCUUGGAACUGCGGAUUUCUUUUGAGCUUUGAGUCCUACUUUUAAGCUCUUAAUGGAAGCACCUGUGGCCUACUGUGUCACAGGGUACUCCUGUAGGUCAUAGAUGAAGUCACAAUGAAGUUUAGACAAAGUAAAUACUGUGAGAGUUGGACCUGAUUCAUGAUUCAGAUAAAUAGUUUGGAAUUUAUACAAUAUCAGUUUGCUCUGCAAGUUUUUCAGGCAGCAUAUUACUGAAUUUAGCUGUUCUAGAAGGACAGCUUUUCAUGACACUUUAGUACCUCAGAUUUAAGUACUAAGUAUUGCCUCUUUUACCAGAGUCUCCAAAUACUGACACUACUUUGUUUCAAUUUUAAAUGGAGAUUGACAUACUGUUUAGGUAAGAAGAGUAUCCAAAUAUAACUUGCUAUUUUUAAGCCUUUCAUACCAGAGCUAUUUUUAAAAACUCUUACAAUAAACCUACUUUCAUAUUGUU